rnacentral:rRNA from 1 species
GUGAACGCUAGCGGUGCGCCUAACACAUGCAAGUCGAGCGAGAAACUUUCUAGCUUGCUAGAAAAUAGAAAGCGGCGAACGGGUGAGUAACAUGUUGGCAUCUGCCCCCAAGUCAGGGAUAGCCCACUGAAAAGUGGAAUAAUACCGGAUAGUCUCUUCGGAGUAAAGAUUUAUUGCUUGGGGAGGAGCCUACAUUCUAUCAGCUAGUUGGUGAGGUAAUAGCUCACCAAGGCUAUGACGGAUAAUUGGUCUGAGAGGAUGACCAGUCACAAUGGAACUGAGACACGGUCCAUACUCCUACGGGAGGCAGCAGUGAGGAAUCUUCCACAAUGGACGAAAGUCUGAUGGAGCGACACCGCGUGAAGGAUGAAGGUCUAACGACUGUAAACUUCUUUUCUGAAGGAGCAUAAUGAGAGUACUUCAGGAAUAAGGGACGGCUAAUUACGUGCCAGCAGCCGCGGUAAUACGUAAGUCUCAAGCGCUACCCGGAAUCACUGGGUGUAAAGGGUUCGUAGGCGGCCUAGUAAGUUGGAUAUUAAAGACCGAAGCUCAACUUCGUGUUAGUGUCCAAAACUGUUAAUCUAGAAUUAGGAAGAGGUAAGCGGAAUUCUGAGUGUAGGGGUGCAAUCCGUAGAUACUCAGAGGAACACCGAAAGCGAAGGCAGCUUACUGGUACUAUAUUGACGCUGAGGAACGAAAGCGUGGGGGAGCGAAAAGGAUUAGAUACCCUUUGUAGUCCACGCCCUAAACGAUGAUAACUAAGUGUUGCUCCUUGCGGGCAGUGCUGAAGCUAACGCGAUAAGUUAUCCACCUGAGGAGUACGGUCGCAAGAUUAAAACUCAAAGGAAUAGACGGGGACCCACACAAGCAGUGGAUCACGUGGUUUAAUUCGACAAUAAACGGGGAACCUUACCCAGACUUGACAUCUACCGAAUCUCACAGAAAUGAGAGAGUGCUUUUAUUAGAGCGGUAAGACAGGUGCUGCAUGGUUGUCGUCAGCUCGUGCCUUGAGGUGUUCGGUUAAGUCCGUUAACGAGCGCAACCCAUGUCGUUAGUUAUUAUGUCUAACGAGACUGCCUUGGUUAACAAGGAGGAAGGUGUGGAUGACGUCAAAUCAGCAUGGCUUUUACGUCUGGGGCUACACACAUGAUACAAUGGUCUAUACAAAGAGCUGCAAUACGGCAACAUUGAGCAAAUCUUAAAAGUAGAUCUCAGUCCGGAUUGAGGUCUGAAACUCGACCUCAUGAAGUUGGAAUUGCUAGUAAUCGUGAAUCAGAUAUGUCACGGUGAAUAUGUUCCUGGGUCUUGUACUCACCGCCC